rnacentral:rRNA from 1 species
ACGAACGCUGGCGGCGUGCCUAACACAUGCAAGUCGAACGAGAAAGGGACCUUCGGGACCCGAGUAGAGUGGCAGACGGGUGAGUAACACGUGGGAACGUACCCUUCGGUUCGGAAUAACUCAGGGAAACUUGAGCUAAUACCGGAUACGCCCUUUUGGGGAAAGGUUUACUGCCGAAGGAUCGGCCCGCGUCUGAUUAGCUUGUUGGUGGGGUAACGGCCUACCAAGGCGACGAUCAGUAGCUGGUCUGAGAGGAUGAUCAGCCACACUGGGACUGAGACACGGCCCAGACUCCUACGGGAGGCAGCAGUGGGGAAUAUUGGACAAUGGGCGCAAGCCUGAUCCAGCCAUGCCGCGUGAGUGAUGAAGGCCUUAGGGUUGUAAAGCUCUUUUGUCCGGGACGAUAAUGACGGUACCGGAAGAAUAAGCCCCGGCUAACUUCG